UACGAAGGGGGCUAGCGUUGUUCGGAAUUACUGGGCGUAAAGCGCACGUAGGCGGAUUGUUAAGUUAGGGGUGAAAUCCCGGGGCUCAACCCCGGAACUGCCUUUAAUACUGGCAAUCUCGAGUCCGAGAGAGGUGAGUGGAAUUCCGAGUGACGAGGUGAAAUUCGUAGAUAUUCGGAGGAACACCAGUGGCGAAGGCGGCUCACUGGUCCAUUACUGACGCUGAGGUGCGAAAGCGUGGGGAGCAAACAGGGAGUU
rnacentral:rRNA from 1 species